rnacentral:rRNA from 1 species
GACGAACGCUGGCGGCGUGCUUAACACAUGCAAGUCGAACGGAAAGGCCCUGCUUUUGUGGGGUGCUCGAGUGGCGAACGGGUGAGUAACACGUGAGUAACCUGCCCUUGACUUUGGGAUAACUUCAGGAAACUGGGGCUAAUACCGGAUAGGAGCUCCUGCUGCAUGGUGGGGGUUGGAAAGUUUCGGCGGUUGGGGAUGGACUCGCGGCUUAUCAGCUUGUUGGUGGGGUAGUGGCUUACCAAGGCUUUGACGGGUAGCCGGCCUGAGAGGGUGACCGGCCACAUUGUGACUGAGAUACGGCCCAGACUCCUACGGGAGGCAGCAGUGGGGAAUAUUGCACAAUGUGCGGAAGCCUGAUGCAGCAACGCCGCGUGCGGGAUGACGGCCGUCGGGUUGUAAACCGCUUUCGCCUGUGACGAAGCGUGAGUGACGGUAAUGGGUAAAGAAGCACCGGCUAACUACGU